UGGGGAAUAUUGCACAAUGGGCGCAAGCCUGAUGCAGCCAUGCCGCGUGUGUGAAGAAGGCCUUCGGGUUGUAAAGCACUUUCAGCGAGGAGGAAGGUGGUGAGCUUAAUACGCUCAUCAAUUGACGUUACUCGCAGAAGAAGCACCGGCUAACUCCGUGCCAGCAGCCGCGGUAAUACGGAGGGUGCAAGCGUUAAUCGGAAUUACUGGGCGUAAAGCGCACGCAGGCGGUUUGUUAAGUCAGAUGUGAAAUCCCCGGGCUCAACCUGGGAACUGCAUUUGAAACUGGCAAGCUAGAGUCUCGUAGAGGGGGGUAGAAUUCCAGGUGUAGCGGUGAAAUGCGUAGAGAUCUGGAGGAAUACCGGUGGCGAAGGCGGCCCCCCUGGACGAAGACUGACGCUCAGGUGCGAAAGCGUGGGGAGCAAACAGAUUAGAUACCCUGGUAGUCCACGCUGUAAACGAUGUCGAUUUUGGAGGUUGUGCCCCUUGAGGCGUGGCUUCCGGAGCUAACGCGUUAAAUCGACCGCCUGGGGGAGUACGGCCGCAAGGUU
rnacentral:rRNA from 1 species